rnacentral:misc_RNA from 1 species
AAAGUCGUAACAAGGUUUCCGUAGGUGAACCUGCGGAAGGAUCAUUUAUGAACCUUUGAGGGUUGAGCUGGCGUUUAUUCGCAUGUGCUUGCCCUCUCAUCCUUUAUACACCUGUGCACUUUUGAAGGGAGACAUUAGUAGACAUUCACUUGUCGAAGGUAUCUCCCUUUACACUACAUACUCUAAUGAUUACUUUGAAUGUUUAAACGCUUAACAGCAUUUAAUUACAACUUUUAACAACGGAUCUCUUGGCUCUC